rnacentral:misc_RNA from 1 species
AACGCAUAUUGCACUCUCUGGUAUUCCGGAGAGUAUGCCUGUUUCAGUAUCAGUAAACACCAUCAAACACCUCCAAGAGCGGGGGAUUGUUUGGAUUUGAGUGUUGCCGAGAAAACUUUACCCUUUUUGCGGCCCGCUCGAAAUGCAAGUACACAGGAUAGGAAUCCCAGAACGAGGUGUGAAACAAAAAAAAGCGUCGUAGUUGACUUGAUUGUCUUCUUUCGCUUGAAAAAGAACGCCCCCCGUUUUUUUUUUUUUUUGGGACCCUUUGCUGUGCAAAUUCGCAGGAAGAUAAGGAAUAUAUUCCUUUAUCACUUCUUGAUCUGAAAUCAGGUAGGACUACCCGCUGAACUUAA